GCGGCGGGUCUUGACAGCAUGAGCGCGCCUGUGAUUGGCCGCGGACCGCUGCGCGUUCACGCUCUAGUUGUGAGAUGUGCGCGCAGCCGCUCACUGGAGGAAAGCACAUCACUAGUUGUCAUACCGAGGGGUAAAUACUCAUUCUUACCAAUGAAUAAUCACCAAUUUACCUCGACUCCCAGCUGACAAACUGCCCUGCGCGACUAAACGCGGAGAGAGGAGCGUCGCGCGCGACAUUGUGUGAGGAGUUUCCUGCCGGAGGUCUUGCUCUUCUGGUUUAGUGAUGGCACAGCCGAGCGCAUGCGGUCCGAGCAGCAAUGGUGUUACUGAUGAGGCUCCUAACAUGCUGGUCUACAGGAAAAUGGAAGACAUCAUCGCUCGCAUGCAGGAUGAGAAGAGCGGGAUUCCCAUCCGUACAGUCAAGAGUUUUCUGUCCAAGAUUCCCAGUGUGUUUUCAGGAUCUGAUAUUGUACAGUGGAUGCAGAAAAAUCUGAACAUUGAAGAUCAAGUGGAGGCUCUUCAUCUAGGGACUCUGAUGGCAGCACACGGUUAUUUCUUCCCAAUAUCAGAUCACGUUCUUACACUCAAGGAUGAUGGAACCUUCUACCGUUUUCAGACUCCAUACUUCUGGCCAUCAAACUGCUGGGAACCAGAGAACACAGAUUAUGCUGUGUAUCUGUGUAAACGAACAAUGCAAAAUAAGGCUCGUCUGGAAUUGGCUGAUUAUGAAGCGGAGAGUUUGGCACGAUUACAGAGAGCUUUUGCACGAAAAUGGGAGUUUAUAUUUAUGCAAGCAGAAGCACAAGCAAAAGUGGACAAGAAACGAGACAAAAUCGAGCGGAAGAUUCUGGACAGUCAAGAAAGAGCGUUCUGGGAUGUUCACAGACCCGUGCCUGGUUGUGUAAAUACAACAGAAGCAGACAUAAAGAAAUCUUCCCGAAUGAAACAACCUCACAAAACACGGAAGUCAGUAUAUGGUCUUCAGAAUGACAUUCGCAGUCACAGCCCAACUCACACUGCAGCACCUGAAAUUAAAGAACCCACAGAAGAAGAACUGCGCAACCAGAUACAGUAUUGGCAGGUGCAGUUAGACAGACAUCGGUUAAAAAUGUCCAAAGUUGCAGAAAGUUUGUUAAGUUUUUCAGAACAGUAUAUUGAAUAUGACCCGAUUUUCACAUCACCAGAACCUUCAAACCCCUGGAUCUCUGAUGACACCACAUUGUGGGAACUGGAGGCCAGUAAAGAACCCGGACAGCAGAGGGUAAAGCGCUGGGCUUUUGGGUUUGAUGAAGUAUUGAACGAUCCGCUCGGGAGGGAACAGUUCUUGAAGUUUCUUGAAUCUGAGUUCAGUUCAGAGAAUCUGAGGUUUUGGUUGGCUGUUCAGGAACUAAAGAAGCGGGCGAAUCGUGAGGUGCCCACGAGGGUGCAGGAGAUUUGGGAUGAGUUUCUUGCGACCGGAGCUCCGAGCGCGAUCAACGUGGACUCCAAGAGUUAUGAAAAAACCACACAGAAUGUUAAAGAUCCUGGUCGCUACGCUUUUGAAGACGCUCAGGAGCACAUCUAUAAACUCAUGAAGAGUGAUUCAUACAGUCGAUUCAUCAGAUCUAAUGUCUAUCAGGAACUUCUGCAGGCUAAGAAAAAGUUGUGUAACAGGAAUCACUGAAGCUGAUUUACUGUGAAAAGCAAGAAUCUUUUCUAGAGUCUGAAUGUCAGAUGCUGUUAGGAUUCUUCAUUAAUGGAGAUAUACAGUAAUAGAGUCAAAUGAGUGCUUGAUGCAGAAGUUAUUUCUCACCUCUUAUAUUUAUUUUUUUACUAUAUUUAAGAAUGUUUUCUGUAUGUUUUUUUAUAUAUAUACAUUUGUGCAUAAAUUCCUGGAAAAUCUGCACGUUGGACAUGAAAAUAGCAUUUGAUAUACAAUAAGAAAUGAAUCUAUCACAAUGUUUCUCCUCCUCGUCUAUAUGAAAACACAAUGUUAGGAUCUAUAGACAGUCACUGCUGACAGUAGUAUGAUGAAUAACUUCAUAUAUGGAUUAGUACUGUAUGCUGUACAUGUAUGAUUACUAAUGAUAAUGGAUGGUCAUGUAUACAGUGUCUGGUAAUGUAUGGACUUCUUUACUGAUGGUUAAAUAUGGACAGUCAUGUAUUUUGUUAAGAUUUAUAUGAUAAUGAUGAUAAUUGUUGACAUUGUGUGGAUGUUAAUGGAGAGUUUGUAAAGGAAUGAAUGAGAAAUAUUUGUCAGUAUGGAUGAUAAUACUGUAUAUAAAACCUUUACUGAUGAUGAUGUUUAACUAUCAGUGAGAAUGUUAUUGAAUGAUAGUAAUGAUGAUGAUGAUGAUGAUGAUGUAUGAAUGGUUAUGUUUGAUGAUAAUGUAUGUAAUGUCAUUGAAUGUCAACUUUGGCUGUAACUUCACAAACUAAGAGAUUUGUUCUGUAAUGAGAUCAAAAGAUGAACUGAGGUGAGACAAUUGUCUGUCUGUCUGUCUGAUCAUUAACAUUAUAGAUUUAAUGAUUGUGUAAAUAUCAAAAUCAAAUGAAGGGACUGAAGAGAAUAUAAACAGGUUUACUCGUCAGGUUUACUCGUCAGGUUUACUCGUGGUUAAACGGCUGCUGAACUCUUUAAUAACAAACAUCUUUCACUAGAUAAUAUUUAAACUUUUAGGAUGAAUUAUUUGUUUCUUUAUUAUGUCUGUAAGAUUGUUUAGAGACUGAAGAGUUGGGUGGGUAAAGUUUAGCAUGACCAACAGAGGGCAGAAGACUCAAACUAACUGAUAAACACAAAACCCUUUUAGUGCCUACGUCACGAUUACGUCACAGCACUAGAUGAGGGCGCGACAAUUUCAAAUCGGCAUAAAGUCGACUUCACAAAGUAAUGUAAAUUUCAUCUUAUUUCGUAAGUACAAGCUCCAGUUUGGAUUUUAUCUCAUACCUGCUCUCACUGCCAUGCAAAUAACCCGACGAUAGCUGUGUUUAAACGACCAGGCCGGACAGAAACGAUCAUUAAAAAUCCUCGCGUUUGCAGCACACACUUCAUAUGCACGUGCCCGUUCAACUCAUACUGUGUAGACAUCUAAUGGUUUAUACUAAGUUACCUUCAUUUCUUUUUACUAUACACGCUCGAUUACUUUAUCUAUGAUAUAGUGUAAGUUAGAUGUCAGACCACUAAACUGGAGAUAAUCCUGUCACGUCAUCCAUUGAGUGAGCGUCAGUCUGAGAUCAAAUCAGAUUUUUUCCUGUAACUUAAUUGUUUGAAAACGGUAACACUUCACAAUAAGGUUGUAUUUGUUAACAUUAGUUAACGCUU